rnacentral:rRNA from 1 species
GACGAACGCUGGCGGCGAGCUUAACACAUGCAAGUCGAACGGAAAGGCCCCUUUGGGGGUACUCGAGUGGCGAACGGGUGAGUAACACGUGAGUAACCUGCCCUUGACUUCGGGAUAACUUCAGGAAACUGGGGCUAAUACCGGAUAGGAAUCCUUGCUGCAUGGUGGGGGUUGGAAAGCUUCGGCGGUUUUGGAUGGACUCGCGGCUUAUCAGCUUGUUGGUGGGGUAGUGGCUUACCAAGGCUUUGACGGGUAGCCGGCCUGAGAGGGCGACCGGCCACAUUGGGACUGAGAUACGGCCCAGACUCCUACGGGAGGCAGCAGUGGGGAAUAUUGCACAAUGGGCGGAAGCCUGAUGCAGCAACGCCGCGGGCGGGAGGACGGCCUUCGGGUUGUAAACCGCUUUCAGCAGGGGCGAAGCUUGUGGUGACGGUACCUGCAGAAGAAGCACCGGCUAACUACGUG